rnacentral:rRNA from 1 species
GUCAAAACGACUCUCGGCAACGGAUAUCUCGGCUCUCGCAUCGAUGAAGAACGUAGCGAAAUGCGAUACUUGGUGUGAAUUGCAGAAUCCCGUGAACCAUCGAGUCUUUGAACGCAAGUUGCGCCCGAAGCCAUCAGGCCGAGGGCACGUUUGCCUGGGCGUCACGCAUCGCGUCGC